UGGGGAAUAUUGCACAAUGGGCGCAAGCCUGAUGCAGCCAUGCCGCGUGUAUGAAGAAGGCCUUCGGGUUGUAAAGUACUUUCAGUCGGGAGGAAGGUGGUAAGGUUAAUAACCUUAUCAAUUGACGUUACCGACAGAAGAAGCACCGGCUAACUCCGUGCCAGCAGCCGCGGUAAUACGGAGGGUGCAAGCGUUAAUCGGAAUUUCUGGGCGUAAAGCGCACGCAGGCGGUUGAUUGAGUCAGAUGUGAAAUCCCCGGGCUUAAACCGGGAAUUGCAUCUGAUACUGGUCAGCUAGAGUAUUGUAGAGGGGGGUAGAAUUCCAUGUGUAACGGUGAAAUGCGUAGAGAUGUGGAGGAAUACCGGUGGCGAAGGCGGCCCCCUGGACAAAGACUGACGCUCAGGUGCGAAAGCGUGGGGAGCAAACAGG
rnacentral:rRNA from 1 species